ACCACCACCACUACUACCACCGGGUUUAAGGAACGUACACUGGACAUCCGGUUGGUUCUCUCUCAGCGGUCAUAGGAUUCCUGUUCCUGUUGGGGGUCAAGAUGCGUGGGAAACUACCUUGAGGGAAAAGCACCAACAGGAUCUAAGACUAUUACUUUAUAUAAACUUACAUUGUAUACUAGUUGGUGGUUCCGUGUUGGGAGGAUGCUGCGCCCACCAGGAGUCCUCAGGCGCCGGGAAGGACCAGAAAGAAAAGAUCAGAAAAACAAGACAAACAAGAAGGAUGAGAAAAUUACAUCAGCUAGUCAGAAAAAAAUGCAAUAGAAAACACAGAGGUGGAAGAAUAGAAAAAAUAGAAUAAAUUAAGAAAAUUACAACAUGAACAAUGGCUGAACGCUACGGGACCAUCACCAGGAAGCCCAAUGCCGCCAGGAGCCACGAGGUAACAAAAUUAAGACACUCGACAACAAGGAAGCAGCAGCAGUAACAACAACAUCAACAGCAGCAGUUGGGAGGCAAGACAAAUCACCUCAUCAUUACCACUGGGCUCAGACUCUCCUCCGGGCCUGGCUUGCUCUGUGGAGUGGACGUUCACUAAUGCCUUCUUCAUUCAUCGCGUCGCCUUGAGCCGCCGCUGAUCUGACCCCGAGCAACAGAUGAAGCUGUGAGGAGUUACUUAAGCCUUUCUGCGAUGAGC